UGUUUCGGCAAGGGGGUCAUCCCGACUUACCAACCCGAUGCAAACUGCGAAUACCGGAGAAUGUUAUCACGGGAGACACACGGCGGGUGCUAACGUCCGUCGUGAAGAGGGAAACAACCCAGACCGCCAGCUAAGGUCCCAAAGUCAUGGUUAAGUGGGAAACGAUGUGGGAAGGCCCAGACAGCCAGGAUGUUGGCUUAGAAGCAGCCAUCAUUUAAAGAAAGCGUAAUAGCUCACUGGUCGAGUCGGCCUGCGCGGAAGAUGUAACGGGGCUAAACCAUGCACCGAAGCUGCGGCAGCGACACUAUGUGUUGUUGGGUAGGGGAGCGUUCUGUAAGCCUGUGAAGGUGUACUGUGAGGUAUGCUGGAGGUAUCAGAAGUGCGAAUGCUGACAUAAGUAACGAUAAAGCGGGUGAAAAGCCCGCUCGCCGGAAGACCAAGGGUUCCUGUCCAACGUUAAUCGGGGCAGGGUGAGUCGACCCCUAAGGCGAGGCCGAAAGGCGUAGUCGAUGGGAAACAGGUUAAUAUUCCUGUACUUGGUGUUACUGCGAAGGGGGGACGGAGAAGGCUAUGUUGGCCGGGCGACGGUUGUCCCGGUUUAAGCGUGUAGGCUGGUUUUCCAGGCAAAUCCGGAAAAUCAAGGCUGAGGCGUGAUGACGAGGCACUACGGUGCUGAAGCAACAAAUGCCCUGCUUCCAGGAAAAGCCUCUAAGCAUCAGGUAACAUCAAAUCGUACCCCAAACCGACACAGGUGGUCAGGUAGAGAAUACCAAGGCGCUUGAGAGAACUCGGGUGAAGGAACUAGGCAAAAUGGUGCCGUAACUUCGGGAGAAGGCACGCUGAUAUGUAGGUGAAGCGACUUGCUCGUGGAGCUGAAAUCAGUCGAAGAUACCAGCUGGCUGCAACUGUUUAUUAAAAACACAGCACUGUGCAAACACGAAAGUGGACGUAUACGGUGUGACGCCUGCCCGGUGCCGGA
rnacentral:rRNA from 1 species